ensembl:lncRNA
CUCAACUCUGCCUGGAAAAAAAGUCUCCUCAUGGCUUUGCUGUAGCUUCUAAUUAUUCUCUGCCUAAAAGAACAGGAUGCCAGGGGCAACUCCUGUUACAAAGCAAAGAGGAGACAGAAGGUGGGUAAGGGUCAUUUAGGCCAGAACAACAAGCUCUAUCUUCCAAGAUACAGGCAAUGUCUCUUGCACUCUUCAGCUGCUUCUGCCUUGUCUUGGCCUACUGAAUUGAUGUCACUCAAAGUAGCCAAGCUGAUGGCAGAUGCCCACAGAUUGACCUUCAUUUUGUUGUUAUGCAGGUUUUAAGGAUGUGACUUUGGUCAGAUAAAGCACAAUCUGGCAGGUGUUAUGAAGAAAACAUAAUUGGUAGAAGUAGUAGAACUAACCUUAUGGAAGAAUAUUUGCCCAGUGAUUUGCUACACUAAUCAACAAGCAGCACUUCAGAGUGGACCACCAACCGGUAAAGCAGGGCUUUGCAAAGGCUUGGUGUUUGGAGCAUGAGGCAGUUGUCACAGCAUCUUGCACAAUGAAGAGGGAAGGAAUGGUUUGACUGCCUGCAGAGUCGCCAUAAGCCAGAGAAUCUCCCUGUGACUCUGUCAUCUUCACUGGGGGAAGAUUUCACUCUUCACAUUCAAAUGGAUCAGGGUCCCCACAGAACUUCCUGGAAUUAGAACAAGUAUUUUCUCAUUAGCAUUUGACAUUGCUGCCUGCAUAUGAAGCAAGAACUACUCUGUUGGACUUGAUGACUUCAAAAUUUCUGAUUGAUAAACUAACCAGUAGUCAGUUUUCAAGGGAAGGCCACAACUGUUUCAUAAGUGAAGUGAAUUGGUUCUUGAUUAUUGUCUUUAUUUUUAUACCUCUGGACAAUAAGGCAAAAACCUCACUAUUUGAGAGGUUUCUUACAGUCAUUUUCUAAG